GGGGGUGACUUGGCUUCGACAGGAGUAGAGUGGCCACGGUGGCAUGUCGCUUUGAGCAAAGCGUUAAAAGCUCACAACAAAUUAAACGCAAAUAACGUUAAAUUCGCUCCUGCUUACGCUAAAGUAGCGUAAGUUCAGUUGAGCCGGGCCAUUCGCCGAUACUAUUUAGGCGUUUUGUCCGUAACUUAGAUAGUGUAGCUUGAGUAUGUGACGAGUGCUUGAGUGAAAUUUAGUCUUAGCUUAAAACAGAUGUUUUGGAAAGUGUGCUUGUUUUGAGUGAAAUUCUACACUUUUGCUAAGCAUGUAGAGGCUUUGGUCUUUUGCUUUUGGACUGCGGUUCGACCCCGCACACCUCCACCA
rnacentral:tmRNA from 1 species